rnacentral:tRNA from 2 species
GGGGCCAUAGCUCAGCUGGGAGAGCACCAGCUUUGCAAGCUGGGGGUCGCCGGUUCGAUCCCGGCUGGCUCCACCA